rnacentral:lncRNA from 1 species
CCUAAGUCUAGGAGAGCUUAAAAGUCCUCAAGAGGACUCUGCACCAUUGUCCAAGAGCCCCCACGCAAUGCAGCGCACCAAUACAUGAAGAUCAUCCGGCCCCUUCCCCACUGUCCAAGAGCCCCCAGGCAAUGCAGAGCACCAAUACAUGAAGAUCACCUGACCCCCCCCCCCCCCCCCCCCCCCUCCCUUCCCCAUCCCAGCCACUACAAGCAGACCCCACCACCACACCCCCCUCCCCCCCGCCUGUGACGUGCUAGUAACCUCUCCAGGUGGGCUGCCCCAUUCCCGUCCCCGCCAACGGCACCACCCCCCUCCCACCUGAUGCACCCACGUCGCCCGGACCAGGGAUCUGCGUUCCGGUACCAGGGGCUGCGGCCCGUUCCCUUAAGGCUUGAGGGUGCCCCUUGAUGUAUUCGCUUCUGUACGCUUCACUGUUUUUAGCCGCUCCCAUAUUGAAGGGAAAAACGGUCUGUCUAGUUACUGGACCAGAUGAAAUGAGACGGAGAGGUAAUAAAGUCUGUCGGCACGAGGACCUUGGAUUUAUUAAGUAAAGUGGCAACGGUUAUACAGAGUCAGCGUGAGAAAUCGAAUAUGUCUAAGUCCCUAAUCAGCGCUGAUGGUUCGUCCGGAGCAGCUUCGCCUCCGUGGAAGGUCUGCUCCAGAAGAAGAUGAAGAGUCCCUGUGUGAUACAGUCUUAUGCUGUAUCCUCCUCUUGAUGAGGUGUGUGCGUUUGAGAUGUGUGUGGUUCUGUGUGUUUUUGCUUGACCUUGGCUCUCAGGCCCUGGUAUGUGCAUGUGUAUCUUCUUGUGUUCCUCCUAACGGGGGAGAGCUCUCAAAAUGUCUCCUGUGUGAUUAAUUAAAACGGGGGAGUGCCCCCCGAAGUGUCUCCUGUGUGAUAAUUUAAUGUGGUUCUCAGGCCCUGGUAUGUGCAGGUGUAUCUCUUGGUUCCUCCUAACGGGGGAGAGCUCUCAAAAUGUCUCCUGUGUGAUAAAUUAAUGUGGCUCUCCCGUUCUUGAGGAUGACUGGUGCAUUGUCUGAGUGUCCACCAUCUGCCUGGGUGGAAGAAAUGGGGCCUUCGGCUCCGGCCUUGACCUGACUAUUAUCAUGUUUGUGUUAUGUGUUCGUUGGGUUAGAGCAAGAGUUGACUAUAUUGUAAUGUGCCUGCCAUGUGAUGUGCUCAUCAGGCUAGGGUAGGAGUUAGCUAUAUUUGUAAUGUACAUGUGAUGUACUCAGCAGGUUAUUUU